rnacentral:lncRNA from 1 species
AAGGUUGGGAAGCCCUGGGACAUUGAAGUUACAACUGGACGAUAAAAACAGAGUUUUUUCCUUGUGACGUGACCACUGUGAUGUAAAGCUGUAUCUCCUUCAUUUCAUCAAGAAAUUCUUAAAAUUCUCCCCCAACGUGCUUUCAUCUUUCCCUUCAUUGCCAACUCUGAAUACUUGUCAUUGAAAUUAGGGCCCACCUGGAUAAUCCAUGAUGAUCUCAUCUCAAGAUCCUUAACUUAAUGACAUCUGCAGAGACUGGUUUAUCAAAUAAGGGACUGUGGCUAUAUCGCUGACCUCAAGAAAACCUGCGGACAAAAUCUGCUAAAGAAGUAUCAGCAUCUAUUUCAAAAGUUAGCCAUUAUUUUAAGAAGACUGUGCUGGAAGACGGGUAUUUAACACAAACAGAUGCAAAAGAUACGGGGUUUCACCGUGUUGACCAGACUGAUUUUGAACUUCUGGGCUCAAUCAGUCCACCUGCCUCGGCCUCCCAAAGUGCUGAGAUUAUAGGUGUGAGCCCCUGCGCCUGGCCAGGGAUGCCGUUCUUCACUCUCCACACUCCAACCAGCAAUGAAGGAGAUCUGAGGUCUCGGCAUCCUCAUUCACACCUGGGUGGAAACAAAGUUAAACAGAUUUCUCUACGGCAGCAGGACUCAGAGCUUUUUUGAAUUGUCUGACGGGCAGAUUGCUGGGAAUUCUUUUUCUAUGGUCAAGUAAAGAUUACAAGGCUAGAAUUCCAGCGAAGCUAUUUUGGCAAAUACUGACCUACAUGAUUGAAGGGGUCCAGAAUAUGCCACCCCAAAAUAUGCCACUUUGACAUACGGCUUAUUUUGGGCUGCAAGCGAUUGAAAAUGAGCAGAUGCAGGAUGAAUCCUCUGCUCUCUUUUUCUACCUGAAACCAGGGCGUAACAUUCCCUUUGUGGAAGGUGUUCCUCGACUCCCAUAGCAGGAAGUGUAGAGCAACUCUUACCAUCAAAGAUGGACAGUCAGCAUUGAGAUGAGUCUGCAUAAACAAACUUUUUUUUUUAAAGUUUGUUCCAUUAAUCUCCCCCAUGUAUUUGCUAGUCACUUUCCCACAAUUUAUCAUCCCUUUCCUUUGUUAAAAUGAUAUAUACGUCCCUGAGCCUAAUCACUUUGCAUUUCACUACUUUUCUGUGAACUCCUAUGCACGUAAAAAUAUAAAUACAUUUGUAUUCCUUUUCUCCUGUUAA